rfam:Larimichthys crocea isolate SSNF unplaced genomic scaffold scaffold128, whole genome shotgun sequence.
GGGGAUGUAGCUCAGUGGUAGAGCAUGUGCUUCGCAUGUACAAGGUCCUGGGAUCAAUCCCCAGCAUCUCCA